AGCGAACGCUGGCGGCAGGCCUAACACAUGCAAGUCGAACGGAUCCUUCGGGAUUAGUGGCGGACGGGUGAGUAACACGUGGGAACGUGCCCUUUGGUUCGGAACAACUCAGGGAAACUUGAGCUAAUACCGGAUGUGCCCUUCGGGGGAAAGAUUUAUCGCCAUUGGAGCGGCCCGCGUCUGAUUAGCUAGUUGGUGAGGUAAAGGCUCACCAAGGCGACGAUCAGUAGCUGGUCUGAGAGGAUGAUCAGCCACAUUGGGACUGAGACACGGCCCAAACUCCUACGGGAGGCAGCAGUGGGGAAUCUUGCGCAAUGGGCGAAAGCCUGACGCAGCCAUGCCGCGUGAAUGAUGAAGGUCUUGGGAUUGUAAAAUUCUUUCACCGGGGACGAUAAUGACGGUACCCGGAGAAGAAGCCCCGGCUAACUCCGUGCCAGCCGCCGCCGUAAGAC
rnacentral:rRNA from 1 species